rnacentral:rRNA from 1 species
AAAAUUUUAAAGGUCGAACAGACCUAAUAUUCCAGCUUCUGCACCAGAACUUAAUUUUAAUCCAACAUCGAGGUCGCAAACUCUUCUUUCAAUAUGAACUCUCCAGAAAAAUUACGCUGUUAUCCCUAAGGUAAUUUUUUCUUUUAAUCGCAAAAAACGGAUCAACAAUUCAUAAAUAAAUGUAACAAAAUAAAAAAGUUUAAUUAAUUUUUUAAUCGCCCCAACCAAAUAAAUAAACCAAUUAACAUUUAAAAUACCAAAAACCACAAACUAAUUUAAAUAUAAAACUCUAUAGGGUCUUCUCGUCUUUUAAUAACAUUUAAGCUUUCUUACUUAAAAAUAAAAUUCUAAUAACUAAGAAAGAGACAGUAAUUUUUUCAUUCAACCAUUCAUUCCAGCUUCUAAUUAAGAAACUAAUUAUUAUGCUACCUUUGCACGGUCAAAAUACCGCGGCCAUUUAAAAUUCAUAGGGCAGGCUAGACCUUAAAUCAUAAGCAAAAGGAC